GACGAACGCUGGCGGCGUGCUUAACACAUGCAAGUCGAACGGAAAGGCCCUGCUUUUGUGGGGUGCUCGAGUGGCGAACGGGUGAGUAACACGUGAGUAACCUGCCCUUGACUUUGGGAUAACUUCAGGAAACUGGGGCUAAUACCGGAUAGGAGCUCCUGCUGCAUGGUGGGGGUUGGAAAGUUUCGGCGGUUGGGGAUGGACUCGCGGCUUAUCAGCUUGUUGGUGGGGUAGUGGCUUACCAAGGCUUUGACGGGUAGCCGGCCUGAGAGGGUGACCGGGCCCCUUUGGGCUGGGAUUCCGCCCCGACCUCCUUGGGGGGGCGGCGGCGGGGAAAUUUCUCAAAUGGGCGGAGCCCUAUUGCAACAACCCCCCGUGCGGAAUGCGGGCCUUGGGGUUUUAACCCGUUUUUCCUGGUGACGAGGGGGGGGUGGCGGUAAUGGGUAAGAAGCCCCCGGCUACCUCCUU
rnacentral:rRNA from 1 species